UACAGAGGGUGCAAGCGUUGUUCGGAAUUAUUGGGCGUAAAGCGCGUGUAGGCGGCUUUGCAAGUCGGGUGUGAAAGCCCUCAGCUCAACUGAGGAAGUGCGCCCGAAACUGCAGAGCUUGAAUACCGGAGAGGAUGGCGGAAUUCCCCAAGUAGAGGUGAAAUUCGUAGAUAUGGGGAGGAACACCGGUGGCGAAGGCGGCCAUCUGGACGGAUAUUGACGCUGAGACGCGAAAGCGUGGGUAGCAAACAGG
rnacentral:rRNA from 1 species